UGUCAUAGAGGCCAAGGAUGUAAGUUCUCGCCCCUGGGCAUCACAGACAAAGCUGGACACCAUGGAGGAGCUGAGAAUGAAUUGGGAGCCCCAGAGCAGCUCAGUCCCUUCUAGGGCUAAAGGAAGAAAGGAGACAGACAAAUGGAACCUUGAAGAGGCCCAGUGAAGAAACAGCUUGGCAGAUGUCAUAAUAGGCCUACAGAUUCCAAGCCUUGAAAAAUGGACUGACAGGCUUGCACAACUUUCCAAUUCCCAGAAGGCAGACAGCAGUUGACAGACACAAAAUGUGAUGCAUGAUAAUGUCUAAAGCUGAAGACAAAAAAUGAGAGACAAAAAACAAAGCUAUGUGCAAGUUAGGCUGUAUACGAGGCAAGGCAGCAGCUUUCAAGACAGAGAAAUAGCUGGUAAAGCUAUUGAAGAAGAAACUCUCAGGUAGUACCAAAGCUAUUUUAUCUAUCAUGAUUGGGCUCUGACUUCUGGGUUGUUUUUGUUGUUUUGUUUUGUUUGUCCUCUA